rnacentral:rRNA from 1 species
ACUGCUCAGUAACACGUAGUCAACAUGCCCCAGGGGACGUGGAUAACCUCGGGAAACUGAGGAUAAACCGCGAUAGGUCAUCACUUCUGGAAUGGGUAAUGACUUAAAUCUAUAUGGCCCCUGGAUUGGACUGCGGCCGAUCAGGCUGUUGGUGAGGUAAUGGCCCACCAAACCUGUAACCGGUACGGGCUCUGAGAGGAGGAGCCCGGAGAUGGGCACUGAGACAAGGGCCCAGGCCCUAUGGGGCGCAGCAGGCGCGAAACCUCUGCAAUAGGCGAAAGCUUGACAGGGUUACUCUGAGUGAUUUCCGUUAAGGAGAUCUUUUGGCACCUCUAAAAAUGGUGCAGAAUAAGGGGUGGGCAAGUCUGGUGUCAGCCGCCGCGGUAAUACCAGCACCCCGAGUGGUCGGGACGUUUAUUGGGCCUAAAGCAUCCGUAGCCGGUUCUACAAGUCUUCCGUUAAAUCCACCUGCUUAACAGAUGGGCUGCGGAAGAUACUAUAGAGCUAGGAGGCGGGAGAGGCAAGCGGUACUCGAUGGGUAGGGGUAAAAUCCGUUGAUCCAUUGAAGACCACCAGUGGCGAAGGCGGCUUGCCAGAACGCGCUCGACGGUGAGGGAUGAAAGCUGGGGGAGCAAACCGGAUUAGAUACCCGGGUAGUCCCAGCUGUAAACGAUGCAGACUCGGUGAUGAGUUGGCUUAUUGCUAACUCAGUGCCGCAGGGAAGCCGUUAAGUUUGCCGCCUGGGGAGUACGGUCGCAAGACUGAAACUUAAAGGAAUUGGCGGGGGAGCAC